GUUAUAUGGUCAAGCGAAUAAGCGCACACGGUGGAUGCCUUGGCGGUCAGAGGCGAUGAAGGACGUGGCAGCCUGCGAAAAGUAUCGGGGAGCUGGCAACAAGCUUUGAUCCGGUAAUGUCCGAAUGGGGAAACCCACCCGCUUGCGGGUAUCCUGCAGUGAAUACAUAGCUGCUGGAAGCGAACCUGGUGAACUGAAAUAUCUAAGUAACCAGAGGAAAAGAAAUCAACCGAGAUUCCGUAAGUAGCGACGAGCGAACGCGGACUAGCCCUUAAGCUGAUUUGGUUCUAGGAAAACGCUCUGGAAAGAGCGGCCAUAGAAGGUGAUAGCCCUGUAUCUGAAAGGGCCAUUUCAGUGAAGACGAGUAGGGCGGGGCACGUGAAACCCUGUCUGAACAUGGGGGGACCAUCCUCCAAGGCUAAAUACUACUGACCGACCGAUAGUGAACCAGUACCGUGAGGGAAAGGCGAAAAGAACCCCGGAGAGGGGAGUGAAAUAGAACCUGAAACCGUGUGCGUACAAGCAGUAGGAGCUCCGCAAGGAGUGACUGCGUACCUUUUGUAUAAUGGGUCAGCGACUUACUGUUCGUGGCAAGCUUAACCGUAUAGGGGAGGCGAAGGGAAACCGAGUCUGAUAAGGGCGCAUAGUCGCGGGCAGUAGACCCGAAACCGGGUGAUCUAGUCAUGCCCAGGGUGAAGGUGCGGUAACACGCACUGGAGGCCCGAACCCACUCCCGUUGCAAAGGUAGGGGAUGAGGUGUGAUUAGGAGUGAAAAGCUAAUCGAACCCGGAGAUAGCUGGUUCUCCUCGAAAGCUAUUUAGGUAGCGCCUCAUAUGUAUCCUCUCGGGGGUAGAGCACUGUUAUGGCUAGGGGGUCAUCGCGACUUACCAAACCAUUGCAAACUCCGAAUACCGAGACGGACUGUAUGGGAGACACACGGCGGGUGCUAACGUCCGUCGUGAAAAGGGAAACAACCCAGACCCACAGCUAAGGUCCCAAAUUCACUGCUAAGUGGAAAACCAUGUGGAAAGGCACAGACAGCCAGGAGGUUGGCUUAGAAGCAGCCACCCUUUAAAGAAAGCGUAAUAGCUCACUGGUCGAGUCGGUCUGCGGGGAAGAUUUAACGGGGCUAAGCAGUGAACCGAAGCUUGGGGUGCAUAACUUUGUUAUGCGCGGUAGAGGAGCGUUCCGUAAGCCGUUGAAGGUGGAUUGAGAAGUCUGCUGGAGGUAUCGGAAGUGCGAAUGCUGACAUGAGUAACGAUAAUGCGGGUGAAAAACCCGCACGCCGAAAGCCCAAGGUUUCCUUGCGCAACGUUAAUCGGCGCAGGGUGAGUCGGCCCCUAAGGCGAGGACGAAAGUCGUAGUCGAUGGGAAGCAGGUUAAUAUUCCUGCACCUCGCGUAAGUGCGAUGGAGGGACGGAGAAGGUUAGGUGUACCAGGCGUUGGUUGUCCUGGGGAAAGGCGGUAGGUUUGGAUCUUUGGCAAAUCCGGGAUCCUUUAAGACCGAGCACCGAGACGAGCCUUUAUGGCGAAGUCACUGAUACCACGCUUCCAGGAAAAGCUCCUAAGCUUCAGCUUACGCAGACCGUACCGUAAACCGACACAGGUGGGUAGGAUGAGAAUUCUCAGGCGCUUGAGAGAACUCGGGUGAAGGAACUAGGCAACAUGGCACCGUAACUUCGGGAGAAGGUGCACCCUUUUUGGUGGCUCGUGCGAGCUAUAGCUGAAGAGGGUCGCAGUAACCAGGCCGCUGCGACUGUUUAUCAAAAACACAGCACUCUGCAAACACGAAAGUGGACGUAUAGGGUGUGACGCCUGCCCGGUGCUGGAAGGUUAAUUGAUGGGGUCAGCCGCAAGGCGAAGCUCUUGAUCGAAGCCCCAGUAAACGGCGGCCGUAACUAUAACGGUCCUAAGGUAGCGAAAUUCCUUGUCGGGUAAGUUCCGACCUGCACGAAUGGCGUAACGACAGCGGCGCUGUCUCCACCCGAGACUCAGUGAAAUUGAAAUCGCUGUGAAGAUGCAGCGUUCCCGUGGCAAGACGGAAAGACCCCGUGAACCUUUACUAUAGCUUUACACUGAACGUUGAGUUCGUCUGUGUAGGAUAGGUGGGAGGCUAUGAAACUGUGGCGCUAGCUGCAGUGGAGCCAUCCUUGAAAUACCACCCUGUCGUGCUUGACGUUCUAACCUGGGCCCAUUAUCUGGGUCGGGGACCGUGUAUGGUGGGUAGUUUGACUGGGGCGGUCUCCUCCUAAAGAGUAACGGAGGAGCUCGAAGGUACGCUCAGCGCGGUCGGACAUCGCGCACUGUGUGCAAAGGCAUAAGCGUGCUUGACUGCAAGAUCGACGGAUCAAGCAGGUAGGAAACUAGGACUUAGUGAUCCGGUGGUUCUGUAUGGAAGGGCCAUCGCUCAACGGAUAAAAGGUACUCCGGGGAUAACAGGCUGAUACCGCCCAAGAGUUCAUAUCGACGGCGGUGUUUGGCACCUCGAUGUCGGCUCAUCACAUCCUGGGGCUGUAGUCGGUCCCAAGGGUAUGGCUGUUCGCCAUUUAAAGUGGUACGCGAGCUGGGUUCAGAACGUCGUGAGACAGUUCGGUCCCUAUCUGCCAUGGGCGUUGGAGAUUUGAGAGGGGCUGCUCCUAGUACGAGAGGACCGGAGUGGACGAACCUCUGGUGUUCCGGUUGUCACGCCAGUGGCAUUGCCGGGUAGCUAUGUUCGGAAGCGAUAACCGCUGAAAGCAUCUAAGCGGGAAGCGCGCCUCAAGAUGAGAUCUCCCGGGGCACAAGCCCCCUGAAGGAACCAUGUAGACUACGUGGUUGAUAGGUCAGGUGUGUAAGUACAGCAAUGUAUUGAGCUAACUGAUACUAAUGAUCCGAGAGGCUUGACCAUAUAACCU
rnacentral:rRNA from 1 species